UACGGAGGGUGCAAGCGUUAUCCGGAUUUACUGGGUUUAAAGGGAGCGCAGGCGGAUUGGUAAGUCAGUGGUGAAAUGCCCGUGCUUAACAUGGGAACUGCCAUUGAUACUAUCAGUCUUGAAUAUCGUUGAGGUUUGCGGAAUGGGUCAUGUAGCGGUGAAAUGCAUAGAUAUGACCCGGAACACCUAUUGCGAAGGCAGCAGGCUAAACGAAGAUUGACGCUGAGGCUCGAAAGCGUGGGGAUCAAACAGG
rnacentral:rRNA from 1 species